UACGAAGGGGGCGAGCGUUGUUCGGAAUUACUGGGCGUAAAGGCGCGUAGGCGGCCGAUCAAGUCAGAUGUGAAAGUCCUGGGCUUAACCUGGGGACUGCAUUUGAUACUGAUUGGCUUGAAUGCAGGAGAGGAUAGCGGAAUUCCCAGUGUAGAGGUGAAAUUCGUAGAUAUUGGGAAGAACACCGGUGGCGAAGGCGGCUAUCUGGACUGUGAUUGACGCUGGAGGGCGCG
rnacentral:rRNA from 1 species